rnacentral:rRNA from 1 species
GCAGCUCAAGUGGUAGCCGCUUUUAUUGGGCCUAAAGCGUCCGUAGCCGGUNNGAUAAGUCUCUGGNGAAAUNNCGCAGCUUAACNGUGGGAAUUGCUGGAGAUACUAUCAUGACUCGAGNUNGGGAGAGGCUGGAGGUACUCCCAGGGUAGGGGUGAAAUCCUGUAAUCCUGGGAGGACCACCUGUGGCGAAGGCGUCCAGCUGGAACGAACCUGACGGUGAGGGACGAAAGCCAGGGGCGCGAACCGGAUUAGAUACCCGGGUAGUCCUGGCCGUAAACGAUGUGGACUUGGUGUUGGGAUGGCUUCGAGCUGCCCCAGUGCCGAAGGGAAGCUGUUAAGUCCACCGCCUGGGAAGUACGGCCGCAAGGCUGAAACUUAAAGGAAUUGGCGGGGGAGCACCACAACGCGUGGAGCCUGCGGUUUAAUUGGAUUCAACGCCGGG